CAAAGAAAAUUGAAAACCCCGCUCGGACUCGUCUUCCUUUCGCGCCACUCCCGCUCUCUUUUAAUCUCACUUUCUCUCUCUAAGACUGACGAAAUUAUCUCCGUUCCUCUUCAAUAUCUGCGUUUAUCGCUAUUGGAUGUAGUUAGGGUUCUAGAUACGAGAAUUUAGAGCCAAUUAAAGCGUUUGAGGCAUUGAUAGGAAAACAGUCUGGGAGAAUUGCCAAAAUAAUUGGACACAUGAUGGCAUCAAGUUUGGGAGGAGCCACGAUGUCGCAAACAGAUGAUUUCGAGGCGUCAACUCCAACCAAUGAUGUUGAGCCUCUAAAGAGGGCUUGGCGUAAUGAAAAGGCUGCUCCUGAGAUUCUACCCUUUGAGGCAUCUUUGAUUGGGAGAAUCAAAGAGCAAAUCCAAUUAAUGGAAGAAACUAUAGAGGAAUAUUCAAGAAGUGGUAUUGAUCCCCUAAUUGUAUCACUCUAUCAAAUGGAUUUAGAUAGGACACAGUUCUUAUUGAGAUCAUAUAUCAGGAUUCGCUUACAGAAGAUCGAGAAGUACAUGCUCUAUAUGUUGAAGUCAGAUGAACUUUUUGGACGCCUUUCUGAAGAAGAGAGAGUAUUUGCUGAAAGGUGUUGUCAUGAUGUGAAAUCUCAUUUUGAUGAGAGUGUUCUAUCAAAAUUGCCUAAUAAUUAUCAGAGCAUUUUGAGGCAAUCUAUAAUAAGUGAAGAGGAUGACAUGGUUCCAGAACCUCCACUGGAUACAUUUGUGGUUUGCAAAAGUAAGGAAUAUCUGGAACAUAUACAGCUUGAGGAUGAGGACGAGAGGGCAUCUAGUAGACUAGAGGAACCUUUUGAGAUGGAGGCCAAUGUAUUACACAUUAUUCGCUACAAGCCCAUAAAAUCACUUGUUGAGAGUGGGAGAAUUGAUUUGCUGUAGACAAUCUCCACGGUCCCUUUUGUGCUUCAUCUUUGAUGUUCUGAAAUAGCGGCUCUCGACAUCGGUGAUGGAGACUAUCUUGCAUUGGUUACUUGGAUGUUUAUUUCAAAAUUGGUUGAGCCCAUAAAUGAAAGGAAUGGCAGAGGAGCAUUGAAUGCAUUAGCAAGAGCUGGUGAGCCAUUUCAAUCUGAUAUCUCAUGAUAUUAAAUGCUCAAACUGUACAAUUUAUGCGUAAUUAAAGUUUCAUAUCGAUUAGAAAGGAUAGAAAUUAUAAGGUUAUGGAUAGAAUAAUUUGUCCUGCAACUUAGUAAAUAAUCACAAAAGGAAAAGUUCCUUUUGUUGAGCUUAACUUGAAAUAAUUCAACUAGUUAAAGCACAGUAAAAAACUUCUCUCCUGGAGAUUCAGGAGGAAGCUUGUAAUAUAAACAAGUGAAUUUUUUAAUCCACUUAUCCAUAUGUUACGGGACCACGCAUUUCCACCUGAAUCUUUAGGAAGGAAGUUUCGUCCAAAAUACAUCAAAAUGUCGGAGGUUCGAAUCACUGUCCUCACUUAUUGUUUUGGUUGAAAAGUGAUAGAGACUCUUUUUAUUAAUGAGAGUGAUUUUGGGGAUGGCCAAUGGAAGGAGGGAGAUUAGAAAUCCUUGAUCCAUUGAACAGAGAUGUGUGAUUAUUAGUUUUGUUAUUGGAUUUUGAGGCAUCCAAAUCCAUAUGAAGAUCAAGAAUCCCAUCAGGAUUUACUUUUUAAGUGAAUAAUUUGAAAGACUGAUGGUUUGGGUUUGAGUGGGAGAGGCAUGAUUUGUAUUUAUUUGUUUUUACUUUUUACCAACUCCAAAGUUAAAGCUUCCACUGCACCUCCUCAGCAACCUUAUAAUUAUUUUAUUUUAUUUUAAGAAACAUGAAAAAUUUUAAGAGUUGUUUGGUAAUUAUUAUUUUUUUAAUUAAGCUAGUAAAUAUUACUUUCAUCUGUCUUU